AAAGUGUGCAUACGCAUGGAUCCAAGCACAUUCCUUUUGUACAUCCCAAUCAAUGUGGAAUUGAGCACUUAUGCAGAAAUACCAAACUCCUCCUUGUCCACCCCUCGAAUCUGAAUAUGCAAAUGUAUUCAAAUAGUUUGGUUGUGUCGUGCUGACGGUACCAUAAGUGUGAGGUGUUGUGUGUUUGAUGACGCCCGCCAUUGUCUCU